rnacentral:rRNA from 1 species
CAAGCGUUGUCCGGAUUGACUGGGCGUAAAGCGCACGCAGGCGGAUGCGCGCGUGGGGUGUGAAAUCUGGCCGCUUAACGGCCAGGCGCCAUCCCAUACGGCGCGUCUGGAGUGAUGCAGAGGUCGAUGGAAUUGCCGGUGUAGUGGUGAAAUGCGUAGAGAUCGGCAGGAACACCCAGGGGGAAACCAGUCGACUGGGCAUCUACUGACGCUGAGGUGCGAGAGCGUGGGGAGCGAACCGG